CUGGGUGGAGUGUGAAACAACCCAUCAACAGCCAUUGUCCAGCGAGGAAGCUACAAUUCAAUGACUCACCUACAUGAGGCCACACCAGGGGAAUUGCUCAACCUUGCCUGGAGACUCAGCAAUGCCCACCCAGACAUGCCUGGACUUGUGUUUUCCAAGACACAGACUGCGGGUAUAAAGCAGACACAGUGGCUGCAUGCAGGACCUCUCUGCUUCACCCACCUACACUACAAGCAACAAGGACAUUCUGAAGACUCCAGCUGAGGGGACUGGUCCAGAUUUCAAGGGUGAAAUCUGUAUACUAUGGACUGCAAUAUCCAGUGCGGGACUUUGAAUCAGGCUCCUACUCCAGUAUCCAGUCUCUGACAGUGACUGGUACCAGAUUCUCCAGAGGAAGCUACAAAGAAAUCCGGUAGUUGACAAUUAGGUAAUACCCUAGCCAUAGGAGGAGUUCUUUCCUGUCCCAAGAGGGCGGCUGGCCCUGAAAACCCGAUUCUCCUCAGGAUUGCCUGGCACCAUGCUGUCAUUCCCAUUCUCAUCAUUUCUCUGAGAAGAGCAUGCACCAUCCACAAAUAGGCGCUCCCCCUCAGAGACAUGUUUGUACAGGAUAUGCAUCAUCCACUGCUGCCUCUUGUUCACUCUCUGUGCUGCAGACCAUCAAAAGCAGAUACACAAAUAGAACACUAUUUAAUGAAUACAGCAAGGAGGCAGCCUUGUUGAAAUAUUUCCAGGCCCAAUAGGAAGCUCCAAUUGUGCCUGUCCCACAAGGACCAUGCACGUUCAUCCAUGCCCAAUUACCAAUUUGUCUGUGGCUAUGACUUUGGUGAAUGGUGACAAGUGAAAGUAGUGAGCAAAUGAUUCAAUAACAUACUUGGCGGUUGAACAGAGAUAUUUCAGAUGGGGCAUGCUGCCUAACCGCAGCACAAUGAGGAUAUAUUGGGUUCCCAAAACUCGAGGCCACACUCCCGACUCUUAUGCAGUUAAUUGAGAUGGAUAAAGUUAUGUGAUUUCAUCCUUUGCAACUAGGGUGACACAAAAAAACCAUACCCAGAGACAACUGAAUAAGCCAGGCAAAGGCCUGGUUCCAACCUUUGCAGCAGGAAUGUCCAUGCACAGGUUUACAGUGUCUGAGUAUGAGAACAUUCAUUGUGAAUCUCAUCCCAUCCUAUGACAUUGCCAUUUUUUCAGUGUUGUAGCAGUGGAGUCUCCGUCAAAGCCACACAAGUCAUCCAGAGAGGAAAAAGUUUUUAAAAUGUCCUAAAUAUUCCCAGAUCCUACCAGCCUAGCAAUUACGAACUCCCUAAACUGGUUCCAUGCUCAACCUGGGUGAAUGAAGAGUUCAGCGACUUACUUAUAGUUAGUUACAAUCAUCCAGUCAAGAAUGGGAAUAAUGUGACUCAUCACAACAAGGUAACAAUUAGAGCUGCUUGAACAUUUCAGAAUUCUGAAAUUUCAAUAAAAUUUCAAUAAAAAGGAUUAUCUUUUUCAGAAAACCAUUCAUGAAAGUUUCAUUCCUUCCAUUGACCAGCUAUAGAGCUGCUUAAAAUUCUCUGAAUUUU